rnacentral:tRNA from 1 species
GGAUUGUGUCUCAGUGGUAGAGCACUUGCCUAGCAUGCGUGAGGCACUAGGUUCGAUCCUGGCACCA